CCUGACUGCUAUCGGAUUGAUACUAAGCCAUGUGAGUCAUUGCAGUAAUGCAAGGCAGACGGCUCAGUAACACGUAGUCAACCUAACCUAUGGACGGGGAUAACCUCGGGAAACUGAGGAUAAUACCCGAUAGAUCAUUAUGCCUGGAAUGGCUUAUGGUCCAAAUGAUUCGUUGCCAUAGGAUGGGACUGCGGCCUAUCAGCUUGUUGGUGAGGUAGUGGCCCACCAAGGCUAUUACAGGUACGGGCUCUGAGAGGAGAAGCCCGGAGAUGGGUACUGAGACACGGACCCAGGUCCUAUGGGGCGCAGCAGGCGAGAAACCUUUGCAAUGUGCGCAAGCACGACAAGGUUAAUCCGAGUGAUUCCUGCUAAAGGAAUCUUUUGUUAGUCGUAAAACCACUGAUGAAUAAGGGGUGGGCAAGUUCUGGUGUCAGCCGCCGCGGUAAAACCAGCACCUCAAGUGGUCAGGAGGAUUAUUGGGCCUAAAGCAUCCGUAGCCUGUCCUGUAAGUUUCCGGUUAAAUCCAUUUGCUCAACAAAUGGGCUGCCGAAAAUACAAACAGGACUAGGGAGUGGGAGAGGUAGACGGUACUCGGUAGGAAGGGGUAAAAUCCUUUGAUCUAUUGAUGACCACCUGUGGCGAAGGCGGUCUACCAGAACACGUUCGACGGUGAGGGAUGAAAGCUGGGGGAGCAAACCGGAUUAGAUACCCGGGUAGUCCCAGCUGUAAACGAUGCAGACUCGGUGAUGCCCUGGCUUGUGGCCAGUGCAGUGCCGCAGGGAAGCCGUUAAGUUUGCCGCCUGGGAAGUACGUACGCAAGUAUGAAACUUAAAGGAAUUGGCGGGGGAGCACCACAAGGGGUGAAGCCUGCGGUUC
rnacentral:rRNA from 1 species